GACGAACGCUGGCGGCGUGGAUUAGGCAUGCAAGUCGAACGGUAUCAUCCUUUCGGGGGUGAGAGAGUGGCGAACUGGUGAGUAACACGUAGGUUAUCUACCCUCAAGACGGGGACAACCCAGGGAAACUUGGGCUAAUACCGGAUGUGAGCAACUUUUAGUUGUUUGAAAGGUGGCGUAAGCUGUCGCUUGGGGAUGAGCCUGCGUCCUAUUAGUUAGUUGGUGAGGUAACGGCUCACCUAGGCAAUGAUAGGUAGGCGGCCUUAACGGGUGGUCGCCCACACUGGGAUUGAGAUACGGCCCAGACUCCUACGGGAGGCAGCAGUCGAGAAUAGUCUACAAUGGUCGGAAGACUGAUAGUGCGACGCCGCGUGAACGAUGAAUCCCUUCGGGGUGUAAAGUUCUUUUAUAUGUGAGCAGUGCUUCUUAUAUUAACAGUAUGGGGAAGAGAUAUUAGCAUAUGAAUAAGCAACGGCUAACUCCGUGCCAGCAGCCGAGGUAAAA
rnacentral:rRNA from 1 species